UGGGGCCCCAACGGCUGUCCAGCGGGGGCGGGGCCUGUCAUGGCCGCCUCUGGAGUCAAUUCUAGGAACCCUGAGGAUGAACUGACCCUUUUAUUCACUAUUCCACAUCGAGCUGCAAACCCAUCAGAUGGAACCAUGUGAUCAUUGUGGCCACCAGCUGACCCCACAGCCACCUUGUGCCUCCCUUGGACCCACCCAGGAAUUUCUGAGCCUUCUUUAUGAAUCCUGGCUAUGGAAGAAAGAGGACCAUAUAUUGGACUCCAAUUCAGAGCAUAUACAACCCUCUGGAGAACCUUGCCCUGGGACAAGCAGAGGUAUU